UAUUUAGUUUUUGGCUUCGAGAUAUCGGGGCUGCAGUGAAGACCAAAAGAGUUUUGUUCUGUGAGUUUUGAAUCAUCUGUGGGUCUUGUAGCAA